AGGGGCAGCGAGAUGUAGUAAUACAUUGUCGGCGACCGGCGCACGGGUGCGUAACGCGUAUGCAACCUACCAUAUACAGGGGAAUAACCUUUCGAAAGGGAGACUAAUACCCCAUAGUAUUACAAUAAGGCAUCUUAUUUUAAUUAAAGAUUUAUUGGUAUAUGAUGGGCAUGCGUGCCAUUAGUUAGUUGGUGAGGUAACGGCUCACCAAGACAACGAUGGCUAGGGGUUCUGAGAGGAAGACCCCCCCACACUGGUACUGAGACACGGACCAGACUCC
rnacentral:rRNA from 1 species